rnacentral:lncRNA from 10 species
CAACAUCUGACUAUCCUGAAAAUGCCAAGAAGUGAGGAAGCCCAAGCAGUCACAUGAAAGGCUGAAUGGAGAGGGAGUGAUGCCUGGCUGGCCCUCAGCUAUUCAAGCCAUUCCCACUGAGGCAUCAGAUAUGAGAGUGAACAUCCAGCCCAGUUCAACCUUCUGAUGAUGCCACCAUCUGAGCAACUGCAUGAGAGAUCUCAGGUAGCAUAGUGUUUUCAAGGUUCAUCCAUGUGGGAGCAUGUUCAGGGACCCCCAACGGAUGGACCGGCUGAAGCCAUGGCAGAAGAACAUAAAUUGUGAAGAUUUCAUGGACGUUUAUUAAUUCCCCAAAUUAAUACUUUUUUAAUUUCUUAUGCCUGUCUUUACUGCAAUCUCUGAACAUAAAUUGUGAAGAUUUCAUGAACACUUGUCACUUCCCCAAUCAAUACCCUUGUGAUUUCCUAUGCCUGUCUUUAAUCUCUUAAUUCCAUCAUCUUCAUAAGCUGAGUAUGAAUGUCACCUCAGGACCCCGGGAUGAUUGCGUUAACUGCAAAAAUUGUUUAAACAAUAUGAAAUCUGGGCACCUUGAAGAAAGAACAGGAUAACAGCAAUGUUCAGGGAACAAGGGAGAUAACCUUAAAGUCUGGCUGCCUGUGGGCCGGGUGGAACAGAGUCAUAUUUCUCUUCUUUCAAAAGCAAAUAGGAGAAAUAUCGCUGAAUUCUUUUUCUCAGCAAGGAACAUCCCUGAGAAAGAGAAUGCACCCCUAAGGGGAGGCCUCUGAAAUGGCCAUUUUGGGGACAUCUGUCUUUUAUGGUUGUAGAUAAGGGAUAAAAUAAGCCCCGGUCUCCCGUAGCGCUCCCAGGCUUAUUAGGACGAGGAAAUUCCCGCCUAAUAAAUUUUGGUCAGACCGGUUGUCUGCUCUCAAACCCUGUCUCCUGAUAAGAUGUUAUCAAAGACAAUGCGUGCCCAAAACUUCAUUAGCAAUUUUAAUUUUGCCCAGGCCUGUGAUCUCGCCCUGCCUCCAUUUGCCUUGUGAUAUUUUAUUACCUUGUGAAGCAUGUGAUCUCUGUGACCCACACCCUAUUCAUACACUCCCUCCCCUUUUGAAAAUCACUAAUAAAAACUUGCUAGUUUUGCAGCUUGGCGGGCAUCACGGAACCUGCCGACAUGUGAUGUCUCCCCUGGACACCCAGCUUUAAAAUUUCUCUCUUUUGUACUCUUUCCCUUUAUUUCUCAGACCAGCUGACACUUAGGGAACAUAGCAAAGAACCUAUGUGAAAUAUCGGGAGUGAAUUUCCCCCAAUAUAUUUUGUGAGUUUUCUUUUUACCUUCUUGAUAGUAUCUUUUGAAGCACAAAGUUUUUAAAUUUUGAUUAAGUCCAAUAUAUCUACUUUUUUAUUGUUGCUUGUACCUUUGGGGUCAUAUCUAAGAAAGCACUGCCUAAUCCAAGGUCACUAAGAUUCACACAUUUAUGUUUUCUCCUAAAAGUUUUGUAGUUUUAUCUCCUAUAUUUAGGUCUUCAGUUAAUUUUUGCAUGAAGUAGAAGCCCAAUGUAAUUAUCUUGUAUGUUAUAUCUAUCUAGUUGUUGUAGCACCAUCUGUUGAAAAGACAGUUUUUGUCUCUGUUGAAUUACACUGACAUCUUUGUUGAAAAAUCAAUUGUAUGGAUUCAUUUCUGGAAUCUCAAGUUUAUUCCAUUGAUCUAUAUGUCUAUCCUCAUGCCAAUACCAAACAGUCUUGAUUACUUUGUAGUAUGUUUUUAAACUGGGAGGUGUGAGAUUUCUAACUUUGUUCUUUCUUUUUAAAAUUGUUUUUGCUGGGAUCACACCUGUAAUCCCAGGACUUUGGAAGGCUAAAGGGGUGGAUCACCUGAAGUCAGGGGUUUGAGACCAGCCUGGCCAACAUGGUGAAACCCCAGCUCUACUAAAAAUACAAAAAUUAGCCGGGCAUGGUGGUGCGCACCUGUAAUUCCAGCCACUCAGGAGGCUGAGGCAGGAGAAUCGCUUGAACCCAGGAGGCAGAGGUUGGAGUCAGCCAAGAUCGCGCCACUGUACUCCAGCCUGGGCAACAUAAUGAUACUCCUUCUCAAAAUAAAACAAACAACAACAAAAAAAAUGUUUUGGCAACUCUGGGUUCCUUGCAUUUCCACAUGAAGUUUAGAAUCAGCUUGCCAAUUUCUAGAAAAAAAAGAGGCACCUAUGAUUUUGAUAGGUAUUGUGUUAAAUCUGCAAAUCAAUUUGCAGAGUUUUGCCAUCUUAACAAUAUUAAGCCUUCCAGUCCACAAACACAAGGUGUCCUUCCAUCAUUUAGGUCUUCUUCAAUGUCUUUCAAUGAUGUUUUGCAGUGUUCAGGGCACAAAUCUUGCACUUUUUUGUUAGAUUUACUCAUAAGUGUAUCAUUCCUUUUUAUGUUACUGUACAUGAAAUUGUUUUCUUAAUUCCAAUUUUAGAUUGUUCAUGCAUAAUACAUAGAAGUAUAAUUGACUUUUGUGUGUUGGUUUAGUAUCCUACAUCUUUGCUGAACUCACUUAUUGGCUCUAAUAGCCUUUGUGUCUGUGUCUGUGUGUGUGUGUGUGUGUGUGUGUGUGUGUGUGUGUGUGUUAACAUUUUCUCAAUAAAAGAUCAUGUCAUCUGAAAAUAGAAUUUUGCUUCUUUCUUCCCAAUCUGGGUGUCUUUUGUUACUUUAUUUCUUAUGAGCAGAGUUUCAUCUUGGUGCUUUCGUCAUUCCUGAAUGAUGCAAGAAGAACAACAUGCAACUUAUAGGGCUUUGGGUAAAAGCUGUAUUUCCCUCCGUGGAAGCUGGGACAAGUCACAACCUCAGAUGCUCACCCAUCCCU